UUUAACCAAUACACUCCAGAUAUUAUUAUUUUUACAUGUUUCUGACAAAUUUGCUGUUUAUAAAAAAAAUACAGUACCAUAUGGCGAUUGAAGAAAGGAAAUGGGAUCUUCAACGAUUCGACUAAUCAUCAUCUCCAAUAUCUGAUAAAGUCAAAGCCAAUCUGAUGCAUUCAUAGAAAGAUAAGGAUACUUUACGACAAAAGGAAACAAAAAGCUCUCUCUCAACGGUAGGUUAAUUUUUCGUAGAAAGAUGAAGAAGGCUAUCUCCGACCGAAGAACUUAAACCGAUCCUUAAAGGUGUGUAUGAUUUUGGUUUGAAUCAAGUUGUUUCCCAUGGCCUAAUCUCAUCAAGGUUUAAAUAUUGAUGAUGUACGGGUGAAGAAGAAAGAUGUGAAGAGGAUGUUGCGAUUUCUGACUCUGUUUUAUUUUCAUAUUUGCUUUGUAAGUCAUAUUUUUCACAGUUUUUGGAGUAUCAAAAUUCUGUUUGUAAUCAGUUAACGUAGGAUAAUCGUUUAAAUCCAACAAAUAUUUGAUCACAGAA